AAACAAGUACAAAGUUGAAUUGGCCAUGUUCACCUAAGACAGUAAUUAGUGAAGGGGAAGCGAUUCCCUUUCAGGUCUGAAUUCAAAAUCCGUGCUCAGUCUUCACAGUGGUGCUACAACCAUUUGCAAUCAGACAUUCUUGGGCCUAGAGUUAGAAGGAUCUUCACCCCUUCUCUGGAUUUUAGUUGACAACCUAGAACCAGAGUAAACAUCAACAUGGAGGCUGCUGUUUUCUCAAAUUGAGGCCAGGGAUGUCUAGAUGAUUCCUCUAUUCACUGUGUGCUUACUGAGAGACAAACAGCAGGUUAAACACUUCACAGAUGGUCUCUCGUUUAAUUCUCAUGACAUUCCUGAUAGGGCAGCCUAUCCUAAUCCCUGACUCAAAGGUUAGGGAAUUUAUCCCAAGUCCACACAGCCCUAAGUGGCACAUCCAAAUCUUGCAUCCAGAGCUGACUGGUAAGCCAGUUUUCUGUGGCUGGAUCUAAAACGUUCCCUGAUUCUGGAAUAACCAUCUUUGGAGGGUUAGUGGGUGGAAGGGGUCUCGGGCCACUCUGUCUCUGAAUAGGAACCACUGCCCUAUUUCAGUAGAGUCCAGGGAGUUAGUUUUCUCAGUAAUAGGGUUGUGAGGUCCAAGAGACUUGUCGAUAGUAUCUAAUGUUAUUUGUGGACCUUUCCCAUUUGAACAGAUUUCCAAUGUUAUUAAGGUAUUCAGGACACAUUACCAGGUUUGACUGCAGACUGCCCUAUGGAACUGAGAAAAUUCUGUAUCUGCUCUGAAAGUGAUGCCAGGGAAGGAAUUUGUACUAUGAAAAUAGAAUUGGGUAGCUUUAGGUCACCUGAGAGUUUUCUUGUAGCCCCCAUAGCUUGUUUUUGUAUGGUUCCAGGAAGGUGGGGCAGCUUUGUGAAGAAAAAUCAAUUAUACCCCAAAGAGGAUUCAGCCUGAGCUUAAGCCACAUCUGCUCUCAUCCCAGCUUCACCCUGUACUCACCCGGGUUGCACUUGCUCCCUACCUGGGUUGCCCAGUAGGACAGCUGCAGAAGGGGCC
rnacentral:lncRNA from 10 species